ncrna:unclassified sequences DTF2693-FD RNA
UCCCUAUAGACGGACUGAACGGCAACGGGUAGCGAGAACCCGGUAGGGA